AGAAUAUAGAUCAUAUAUUUAUAUGAGGUUAAAACAUGCAUAUGAAUAUGCCAUGCACUAGGCAAUGGCCAAGGUUAGGGCUUUUAUUCAUCACAUGUGCCUAUCUAUGACCUCCGACUCUUUCUGAUUUAUUUCGUUUCUCUAAUUUUCAAGCUUUCUAUCUGUUUUGUUAACUUGAUGCAUUGAUUCAAGCAAGCAAGCAAUACAUACAUACAUUCAUAUACAUAUAUGGUGAUGGAUGAAGGAAGCAUUUUACUUAAAGCCUAAGAUGGUACAAAACUUCUACAAUGAUGACAUUAUCUAGAAGACGAGAUUCUUUUCUUACAAUCUUUUUGAGUUCAUACAAUUGAGGUUAAAACAAUUAAUAAUCCACGUGAGGAAGAGGCAUGUGCUCUCAAACGGUUUCACAGAGAUUGGAUGACAAGAGGAGAAACUUCACAAUAUAAGGAACAUGAGAAAGACAAUAAUGAUCAUCUAGAAAAAAUAGAUCAAUCAUGUUUAGGAAAGGUGAGAAUAUUCUCUAGCAGUUCUCCUUUUUUUUAGAAACACUCUAACAGUUCUCUCAAAAGCCUUGUACUGUCUUUGCUUUAUCUUUUGGGGAUUAAGCUUUUGUUUUUCACUAAGA